UGGGGAAUUUUGCACAAUGGGGGAAACCCUGAUGCAGCGACGCCGCGUGAUUUAGAAGGCCUUCGGGUUGUAAAAAUCUUUUCUAUGGGAAGAAAAUGACAGUACCAUAGGAAUAAGGACCGGCUAAUUACGUGCCAGCAGCCGCGGUAAUACGUAAGGUCCGAGCGUUGUCCGGAAUCAUUGGGCGUAAAGGGUACGUAGGCGGGUAAGCAAGUUAGAAGUGAAAUCCUGUAGCUCAACUACAGUAAGCUUUUAAAACUGCUCAUCUUGAGAUAUGGAAGGGAAAGUGGAAUUCCUAGUGUAGCGGUGAAAUGCGCAGAUAUUAGGAGAAAUACCGGUGGCGAAGGCGACUUUCUGGCCAUAAUCUGACGCUGAGGUACGAAAGCGUGGGUAGCAAACAGG
rnacentral:rRNA from 1 species